GACGACGUCACGCGGAGGAUGAAGACGAGGUUGUUCCUGUGCGAAGAGCGCGAAUCGAACCGCCGAAUAAUGCGCCGCCUCCACGCAAUGGACAAAGCAUCGCUCUCAUCGAAAUAGAUAAUAAUGAUGUUGAUGACGAGGAUAAUGGAGAUUCGCAGUGAUCAAGGAACUCGUCAAUUGCCAUUAUUUCAAUGUCGCGUAAGUUCAAAAAAUCGGUUAACGAAACAUAGAGUUAGUUCUGCAAAAAAAAAAGAAAAAUAACAGUAAAAAUUACUUUUUA